GACGAACCGUGCGAACGUUGUUCGGAAUCACUGGGCUUAAAGGGCGCGUAGGCGGGUGACCAAGUCCGGGGUGAAAUCUUUCGGCUUAACCGGAAAAGUGCCUUGGAUACUGGUCGCCUGGAGGGAGGUAGGGGCAUGUGGAACUUCCGGUGGAGCGGUGAAAUGCGUUGAUAUCCCCAAGAACACCAGUUGCGAAGGCGGCCGACUGGACACAUAUUGACGCUGAGGCUCGAAAGCAUGGGGAGCAAACAGG
rnacentral:rRNA from 1 species